GCACACGAGCGUAAUCGUUCUCGUCCUCGAUGGGUUUCACGUAGUACGGUGGGUUCGCGUUUAUCGUAUCGAUGAAGGCUAUCGAUGCUAUCGCCAAGCUCUGUAAUGUGAAUCAUUCAUUGAAUUAAGCUUUUCGCGUAACUAUUGAGGUUUAAGAAGGUCCAGCAGCGUAAAAGGGACAUCGAUAAACAUCGAUAUCAUUUCGUGACAUCGAUUGCGAAUAAAAUUUCGUGUUCAUAUCGGCGAUAUCGGUCGAUGUGUACGUGAAAUGAGUUUGGAACCGCGUUUGGUGCGACGUGUACUUCGUACAGUCCGGCGUUACAUUCUUUCUAAGAAAUUCUCAAGGUUCGUCGACCAUGUAAUAUCUGUAUGACAAACGCCAAUACCCUUUGCAAACACGAAGCUUAUUGUAAACUCGUGUUCUCGCAUUUUUACCACUACGGCCGACGACGAAAUUUGUCCACACGCGGCUCGCUGCUACGCGGACUUUAAUAUUUGCGAUCUUACGCGGGGAUUUCGUUGCAAACAUGAAACGUAGUACCAGCGUCCGUUGGUACAUGCGAGUUUCUGCAGUUUCUGUGUAAUAGAAAAAGUCGACGAACCGAAGGUUUUCUCUUUUUGCUACGUUGGAAAUUAUUUUCACUGAAAGUUUCUUUCCUACACCAUGUAAAGAAUUACAGAAAGAAAUUAACAGAUGUGUAAAAUUACUUUUACUAGAAGUUCGUUUGUUUCGCUAUGUAGAAGAUUAUAGCAAAAAAUGAAUUUUAUGUAUAAUUAAAGUAACGUGCAAAAAUCUUAAACCACUUACAAAAUAGAACCGUUUUGCUCUUACGAAGAGAGAAUCCUUGGUAUGAUUUAAGAAUUAUCGAUUAACGCAAAAGAUUAAAGAUAAUUAAUAGUAAUUAAUAAAAAUGGAAAAUACAUUUUUUCUUUUUUCACAUCUGGUUGUUAGCAACGCCAAUAUGAACAGAGAUAGACAUUUAGCAGUUAGAUUUUUCAAAAUAUCGAUAUCUCUUUCAGGAAGGAGAAAACGAUUGAAACUUGAUCUUUAUUACAGAGAUCUUCACCCGAAGUUCUUUUGAUCCGGUAUUUAUCGCGAAAAAAUUUAAUCUGAAGCAAUUAAUAUUUAAAGUGGCCGUCAUUGACUUUGCGGGCUUUCAGAAAUUCAUUUACAAAUGUGAUGGUUGUCUUAUGAUCUCCAAGCCACUGAAUCGCAGGAAAGGUGAAUUAAUCAAAUCGAUCGAUACUUUCUUUAAUUAGACGAUUUAUUUAUGCAAGAGUAAUCCCGUUCGAAGGUCGAUCCCAUCAGACAGUAAGAAUGCAGACUCGCGUGAUGGUAAUACACGUCUGCUUAGUAAGACAUGGGGACCGGAAGUCGAUGUCCCGGCUGCUACUUCCGGCCACACGAAGGAGUCUACAGCUCGUCAAUGUCAGAUCCAAGGAGGGAAAAUUCGAUUUCACCAUAUCGAAAUGUCAUCUGAUAUAAAAUUAGAAAUGGAUAUUGCACAUUUUCAGAGACGUAUAAUUUAAUAUACAUAAUAUAAAAAGUAUAGUAAGUUAUUUACAUUUUACACGAUUCUCAUCCAUUUCUUUUACAGCUGAUGAUAUUUAAUUGUUUUUAAAUGUAUUAUUUUUACACCAUCCUAUAUUAUAUCUGGAUAUUUCUAUACUAUAAAAUAUUUAACAGUUUAAUAUUAUUUUUAUAUCGUACGUAUAUUCAUAUAUUUAUACUAGAGUUUUAAAAGUGCUUACGUUUAGAAAAAGGAGGAAUCAUACGUUCAUCGAUGUUUACUUUGCAAUUUACUAUUUUGUCGUAAAGUAAUUUGUAGAAUAAAAAUCACGUUAUCAUCUCCAAAGAUGCAAUAAUGUAAAAUAAGUUAAUAAAACGAAAGUUCAAUGGCAACUAGUUUGUCGAAAUUGCGAGUGAGCGUGUUGUGUUCGAUGAAACGAACAUCGAGUUUUUCGGCGUUUGAUUUCGCGCGAGUCAAUUCGAACGCGUUGCAUCGCGCCAGUAGCAACAAUAAGUAUUCAAAACGACGUCUCGCGUCGGCAUUUUGUUCGAUGAGCAAGCACAUAUGUAAGUGUGUGUACGUAUGAAUCGAAAAGACAUGACGUAACACGUGACGAUAGAAUGGAAUCUUACGUGUAUUUGAUACGAAGCGAUAAGAAAUACAUACAUAUAAAAUUAGUAACGCUCUUAUAAUUCCAUGACUUACAAUUAAAAGUGAUAUAAGUAGCUAUGUAUAUAUAUACAGGGUGGUUGGUAACUGGUGGUACAAGCGGAAAGGGGGCGAUCCUACGCGAAAAAAGAAGUCGAAAAUAUAGAAUAAAAAUUUUUCGUUUGAGGCUUUGUUUUCGAGAAAAUCGACUUUGAAUUUUCGCUCGGUACGCGUGCACUUUAUCAUGCCUCGUUAUAACGGAUCUCAUUGUAGAUCGUUGUCUCGAUGGAAAAAUUAAAAAAAAAGAAAAGAAAUUUUUACUCUAUAUUUUCGACUUCUUUUUUCGCGUAGAAUCACCCCCUUUCCGCUUGUACCACCAGUUACCAACCACCCUGUAUAUCAAAAUAUUUAAUUGUUAAUAUUACAAUAUUAUAAUAAUCCAUUAAUGUAAUUACCCUACUAUUGUGUGCUAAUCUUGUUAUUGUUAAUUUAUCUUUUAAUCUUUUGUAUCUUACCUUCCUUCCUUAUAUUUUAUAAUUAUAUUUUAAUAUAAUUAAUAUAAUUUUUCUUUUAAUAAAAUCAAUAUAAAAUAAAUAUAAUCUUUCAUUAUACGUGAUAUUAUGCGCCAAUAUAAUAACUAUAAUUUAUACGUGACAAAGUCAAAUUAUUCGGUAAAAAACUCAUACGAGGAACUAUAGAUCAAUUUUUCAGGAUGAGUGGUUGCAAACAUGCUGAUUAUAAACGUUAUAAAAUGACUGAUGUUGUACAACGACACGUGUCAUAAAUUAAUUUGCUAUUUGAA